rnacentral:rRNA from 1 species
UACUUAGUGGCAGCGGGUGAGUAAUAUGUGGGAAUCUACCCUUCGGUCUGGAAUAACAUGAGGAAACUUAUGCUAAUACCGGAUAAGCCUUCGCAGGGAAAGCUUUAUGCUCCGAUUGAUGAGUCCACACUUGAUUAGUUAGUUGGUGAGGUAAUAGCUCACCAAGACAAUGAUCAAUAGCUGAUUUGAGAGGAUGAUCAGCCACUUUGGGACUGACACACGGCCCAAACUCCUACGGGAGGCGGCGGGGGGGAAUCUUGCACGGUGGGGGAAACCCUGAUGCAGCGAUGCCGCGUGAGUGAAGAAGGCCCUUGGGUUGUAAAGCUCUUUCGGCGGGGAAGAAAAUGACUGUACCCGAAUAAGAAGGUCCGGCUAACUUCGUGCCAGCAGCCGCGGUAAUACGAAGGGACCUAGCGUAGUUCGGAAUUACUGGGCUUAAAGAGCACGUAGGUGGUUAAAAAAGUUGGUGGUGAAAUCCCAGAGCUUAACUCUGGAACUGCCAUCAAA